UACAGAGGGGGCAAGCGUUGUUCGGAAUUACUGGGCGUAAAGGGCGCGUAGGCGGCCCGCUAAGUCGAACGUGAAAUCCCCGAGCUCAACUCGGGAACUGCGUCCGAUACUGGCGGGCUUGAAUCCGGGAGAGGGAUGCGGAAUUCCAGGUGUAGCGGUGAAAUGCGUAGAUAUCUGGAGGAACACCGGUGGCGAAGGCGGCAUCCUGGACCGGCAUUGACGCUGAGGCGCGAAAGCGUGGGGAGCGAACGAGGCA
rnacentral:rRNA from 1 species